CGGAUUAGCACCUUAACGGAUUAGCGUGGCAAGCAGGCCCAUUCUGAAAGAAAAAGGAAGUUCUCGUCGCAGAAAGAAAAUAAUACCAAAGGGAAACAAAAUUUCAAGAAGGAAUAAAGAACAGUGGAAGAGUAAAUAUGAAGACCAAGAGCAGUGAUGACCUUUUAGCUGGAAUGGCCAGAGGGGUAACGGUGACUAAUGGUGUUAAAGGGAAGGAAAGCUCCUGCCCAUCUGCAGCACCUUCGGCAUCUGCCCCUGCCAUGACCACUGUGGAGAACAAAUCCAAGAUUAGCACAGGUAUGGGUGACAUUCAGUCUGAGACUUCAACUGCUUUUUUGUUUGAAUAGGCAGGAUGCAUUGGUGUUUACAGUGUUCCAUCUCAUUAUAGGAAAUUGUAGACAUACAAAAGUAGAUGGAUUGAUAUUUCAGCCCAAUACGCUCAUCACGCUCAUCACCAUUAUCAGCUCACAGCCAGUUGUAACUCUGUGAUACCCACCCUCCCCUCUUAUUAUUUUGAAGCAGAUUCUGGACAUCAUAUCAUUUCAUCCAUAAAUAUUUUAUUAUCUUGGAA
rnacentral:lncRNA from 1 species